UGCCCCCCUCCCACACACUGGUAACCCCAAGGAGCUGGCAGACCUACAGAGAGGAAAGACGGCCGAAGAUGACCUCAGCUACUUCUAAAGUUAAAGGACUAACAUUGCAGAGAUUCCCCCUCACUCCUCCUGGCCACAGUCAAGCAAAAAGUCACCACUAUCAUUUGAUAUUGUGAAUGUUAAGAAGAAAGCCAACUGACAUAGAAAUUAGUGAAUACCCACAAUUUAUAAAAGAUUAUGGGUUUGAAUUUAUACAUGCAGGGGAUACAAAUACAAAUAUGUUAAAACUGAAUUUUUGCAACUAUAUAUAUGACUGCUAGUACAUGUAUUUAUAACUUGUGCAAUAAAACAGUUAUUAUUUUUCAUUC
rnacentral:misc_RNA from 1 species